rnacentral:rRNA from 1 species
GUCUACGGCCACACCACCCUGAAUGCGCCUGAUCUCGUCUGAUCUCGGAAGCUAAGCAGGGUCGGGCCUGGUUAGUACUUGGAUGGGAGCUAAAUGAUCAAUACUUGUUUUUUGUAAACC